UCAACAUGGACCGCGUCAAAACUCAAAAGAUGACCAUCACACGUCCAGACUAAACGACGACCAACUAUGGAUUGGAGUGACUCGUCGGCAACAGGGAGCUAUCUAGCUUAGCUCCCUCUCACCCACCCCGCCCGCGACCUCGUCGUCUUCCUCUCCUCUCUCUCCCGUCCGUCCAACUUGGUGGCCUGCCUGCUGCUCUGCUCUUCCGUCCGUGCGUGCGUGCGUGCGUGCUGGGAUCGCCAUGGAGGUCUCCGGCCCCGUCGUCACGCUCACCCCCGGUCAGGUGUCCUUUCUGCUUCGUCUUUUCCCGGUCCUCGUCGCAUGGAUCUACUCCGAGGUCCUGUACUACAAGAAGAAACCUUCGUCGACACACGGGCCCCGGAACAGAUAUACCAAAGCCAAUUUAUUACGUAUCUGCUAAAUGAUGGUGCUAUAUCCCUUGAGUGGAAGGUGGACGCUGCCAGCGGAACAUGGCAAACAACUUGUUCACAUGGUGCUGAUAGAGCUUCACUUCAUUACCCCCGUGACAGUACCUUUCAAGCUCUCUGCAGUAUUGGAUAGCAGGGGGUGGUCCUGAAUUUAGUUUCAUUUUGGUAAGAUCAAAAUGAAGCAGCACAUGUAAGAAAGCUGAAUACUAUUUAUUGUUAGGAGACUAAGCUUUCAUCAAGAGAAAAGUAGAAUUGACCUUGAAACCUAUGGUAGGAAGAAUAUAGUAAGCAGGUUAGUUAAGUUGAGCAUCAUUGAUCGGCCUGAUAUAUGUUUUUUUGGUUCUAAGGCAGAUAAUUGGCGUCGAAGAAGUAUAGAAGAUCAUAAAAACUAUUAGUUCAUUUUAUUUUAAAUGGAGAAUAUCAGAACAGUAUAAUAAGCAUUGUAGCCUAGCAUUGGUUCACCGUGAAUGAUAUACUUCGGAUGCUCAUAUUCUUCACCUUGUAUAAGUAUCGUGAGAAAUGUUAGUGCGAGAAAUCAGAAAUUUGUUUGCUGGCAAUAGCAAUUGUGGGCGUACAGUUAAAUUAUGCACUUUAAAAGAGCAGUAAAAUGGAUUUAACUUGUGUAGUUUGGUUCUUUUAUAAAUAAACCAGUAUGUAAUCACUUGAGUAUAUGUGCAUCAACCGUUUGGGGCUAUUUAAUUCCGCUUUUCCUGGCUAAUAUCUGUACAAGUACUUUAGAUUUGGGGCUGAACAGUGCACCAACUGUUGCAUUAUAUAUAUCGUGUGAUGCAUAGCAGGCCUAUUAAUCAAUUUAGGGGCAGAACAGAUGACCUAUUGAUUUAGGCCUAUUGCUUUGGGGCUGAACAAAUGACCCGUUGCGCUGAUGGCGCAAAAGGCGAGGGCAAACCAAGCAUUAAAAGCAUGCAUGUUAGAAUAUUUAGAUACCGAUUAGGCCAUAAGGAAAUAGAUAUUUAGGUAUGAAGUUGAUAGGUAGCAUUAUAAGAAAGGGAUGGAGAUCAGUUUACGAUAGCUUAUCUGCAUUGCCUUUAUCAAGCAAACUACAUAGGUAGAGAUGCAUCAUAUAUGCAUAGCUUUGAUCAUUUAGCUCAUGGUGAGAAGUGAUGAAUCUCAGGUAGAGUAUUGCCAUUGUUGCACGUGCCCCUUUAAUACCAUGUGCUCGAUUUUAUUUUAAUUUUGCAUUUUUCAACAACUCUGUGUUUGAGAAAGUUCAUACGGUAAGAAUUUAGGCGUACAUACAAAAAGAUAAUGUAGGUUUACAUUUUAAAAAUAUAUGUACCUUCAAAAUCAUAGGUGCUUUUCAAACAUAUUUUUAUAUCAUGGUCUUUCUUUUAUAGUUACUAGUAAGUAUGCACAUGCAACGCACGUAUCAUAGAGUUAUGAAAUAGAGAGAAAAUUGGAUCGCGGGAAGGGGAGCGGUGGCAUAAGUGUCGAGGGAGGAGGAUUGAUUAUUGCGGCGGCCAUGCCUAUAGGUUCCCUUGGUGUUUCCAGGUUAAUUUUAGUGACUCCUUUGAUUAUGUUGGACUAUUGUAGAAAAGAUUAUUGGAAACUUUUUUUGUGUGUAAAAUAGGUAAUCAAUAAUUGGAAAGCAUGUCCGUGCUGGAUGGAAGAGGUAAAAGAAAUUUCCAAGGUAAACAUUGAUAUUAUUUAGGAGUGAAAGACAUAUGCUAAGUAUGGGGCUUUGCUCGUAUCAUAGUACCACGUACGAACCAGCUGCACCGAGCUUAAUUACUAUUGUUCCGCUUGCUGCGAAGGGAUUCCCAUCUUAACUGGAUGGAGAUUACGUGUGUGGCGUAUGAAUUCGCUGGCCCGGAUCAAUCGGGUGGAUCCACUACUUAGCAGGAGGAAUUUUGUUCCUCGAAAAUGGAUUUGAUCCAGGAUGAAUUGAUGGUCGAUCUCUGAACCCCAGUUCCAGACAAGUUUGAAUAAUUAACAGUACAUGCGAAGGCAUAGGAGACGUGCUCGUACCUGUCCUGGCCGCGUAGCGCUGCAGGCCCACGUCACUAUCAUUCCUCGGGACGAGAAGACGACGAACACUCAAACUGGUGAACAAAAAGAAGGAAGUGACGGAAGUCAAGAACGAUCAAAAUCAAGGUCAGGGUCUGAUCGAUCCUCUGAUCCAAACAAACAGUGAAACGAGCGCUUUGGUUUCCACGUUAUUCUCUGCCUACAUGCGAACAUGGGCCAGACCUUCUUUUUUUUCUUUCUAUGUACGCAGUACACAAGGCUGAGUUUCAAAAAAAACAUGAUGACGUAGAUCAUGGUAAUUAUUGCUAAUUGAUAUUUUUCCUUCUAUGUACGCAGCAUACA